UACGGAGGGGGCUAGCGUUGUUCGGAAUUACUGGGCGUAAAGCGCACGUAGGCGGACCGGACAGUCAGAGGUGAAAUCCCAGGGCUCAACCUUGGAACUGCCUUUGAAACUAUCGGUCUGGAGUUCGAGAGAGGUGAGUGGAAUUCCGAGUGUAGAGGUGAAAUUCGUAGAUAUUCGGAAGAACACCAGUGGCGAAGGCGGCUCACUGGACCGGCAUUGACGCUGAGGUGCGAAAGCGUGGGGAGCAAACAGG
rnacentral:rRNA from 1 species